CGCGUAGGCGGGAUGGCAAGUCGGUCGUGAAAUGCCUCGGCUCAACUGAGGAGCGUCGAUCGAUACUGCUGUUCUUGAGGGUUGCAGAGGAGACUGGAAUUCCCGGUGUAGCGGUGAAAUGUGUAGAGAUCGGGAGGAACACCGGUGGCGAAGGCGGGUCCCUGGGCAACUCCUGACGCUGAGGCGCGAAAGCGUGGGAGCAAACG
rnacentral:rRNA from 1 species